rnacentral:tRNA from 1 species
AAAAUCCGUCGACUUUAGAAAUCGUGAGGGUUCAAGUCCCUCUAUCCCCCCAAAAAGACCGAUUUGACUAUUUCUCCUACCCUCUCUUUUUUUUAGUGGUUCAAAAUUUGUUCUCUUUCUCAUUCAUUCUACCUUUUUACAAACGUAUCAGAGCAGAAUUUUUUUCUUUUAUCACAAUCACAAGUGGUGUGGUAUAUAUGAUAUACGUACAAAUGAACAUCUUUGAACAAAGAAUCCCGAUUCACAAUUCAUAUCAUUGCUCAUACUGAAACUUAUAAAUUAUUCUAUUCAAGAAAUCUAAUUCCACGCUCAAGACUUUUAAUACUUUUUUUAUCUUUUUUAAUUGACAUAGACCCCAGUCAUCUAGUAAAAUAAGGAUGAUGCGCCGGUAAUGGUCGGGAUAGCUCAGCUGGUAGAGCAGAGGACUGNAAAUCC